rnacentral:rRNA from 1 species
UACAGAGGAGCCAAGCGUUGUCCGGAUUGACUGGGCGUAAAGCGCACGCAGGCGGACGCGCGCGUGGGGUGUGAAAUCUGGGCGCUUAACGGCCAGGCGCCAUCCCAUACGGCGCGUCUGGAGUGAUGCAGAGGUCGAUGGAAUUGCCGGUGUAGUGGUGAAAUGCGUAGAGAUCGGCAGGAACACCCAGGGGGAAACCAGUCGACUGGGCAUCUACUGACGCUGAGGUGCGAGAGCGUGGGGAGCGAACCGG